UUACCCUUUCAUUCGAAUGCCUUGCUGCCCAUUCCAGAUGCAUGAGCAGCAGAUACACAGUUUAUAGAGAGCAGGGUCCUCUGCUGCACACAAGUGCGUGUCGAUUCUCUGCAUCUUCACCUGGAGACCACCGACUCAGACUCGGAGCUCCAGAUACCGAUUUCUUGCUCAGACGACUUCAGUUCACAGCGCCUUUCAUGGGGCCACUUUCUCAGAGCUUCCUGCUAAUGUGCACCCUGGGAGGCAGCAGAUGCUGGCUCAAGUACUUGGCUCCCUGUCACCCACAUGGCAGACCUGGAUUGAUUUCUGGGAUCCUGACCCAACCUUGCCAUUGUGGGCAUUUGAAAAAAAUCUCCAGCUGCACUAUUUAAAUGGAAGUCCUUCACAGUCAGUCACCUGUGGGUACUGCAUACUUACUUGAAAUGUGGCUGGUGCAACUUGAAAUAUGCUCUAUAUUUAAAAUAUACUCUGGAGACUGAAGACUUGGUGAGAAAAAGACACCUGCAAAACAGCUAGCAAAACUAGAUACUCGAAAGGCCUGCAAGGUUUCUGGAGAACUCCUUGUGCCAAGUUCCUUCAGCAACCAGACCAGAUACAAGCCCAGCCCUAUGCAUGCCAUGCACACAGUCUUCAUAAGAACAGGCUGCCACCACCUCUUGGCUUCAAUAAAGCAACCUGUCUCUAUUGA